rnacentral:rRNA from 1 species
GACGAACGCUGGCGGCGUGCUUAACACAUGCAAGUCGAACGGAAGGACCCUGCGUUUGUGGGGUGCUCGAUUGGCGAACGGGGGAGAAAAACAUGAGUAACAUCCCCUUGACUGAGGGGGAACAUCUGGAAAAUGCGGCUCUUACCGCAUAGAAGCUCCUGCUGCAUAGUGGGGGAUGGAAAAUUUCGGCGGUUGGGGAUGGACUCGCGGGUUAUGCGCUUGUUGGGGUGGUAGUGGCGUACCAAGCCUGUGAAGGGUAGGCGGCCUGAGAGGUUGACCGGCGACAUGGGGCCUGAGAGACGGCGCAGACGCCUACGGGCGGCAGCAGGGGGGAAUAUUGCACAAUGGGCGGAAGCCUGAGGCAGCAACGUCGCGUGCGGGAUGACCGCCUACGGGUUGUAAACCGCUUUCGCCGGUGAUGAAGCGUGAGUGACGGUAAUGGGUAAAGAAGCACCGGCUAACUACGUG